rnacentral:tRNA from 1 species
GGCUAUGUAGCUCAGUAGCGUAGAGUGCCGGCCUGUCACGCCGGAGGUCGCGGGUUCGAGUCCCGUCAUAGUCGCCA